rnacentral:rRNA from 1 species
GAUGAACGCUGGCGGCGUGCCUAAUACAUGCAAGUCGAGCGAACAGAUAAGGAGCUUGCUCCUUUGACGUUAGCGGCGGACGGGUGAGUAACACGUGGGUAACCUACCUAUAAGACUGGGAUAACUUCGGGAAACCGGAGCUAAUACCGGAUAACAUUUGGAACCGCAUGGUUCUAAAGUGAAAGAUGGUUUUGCUAUCACUUAUAGAUGGACCCGCGCCGUAUUGGCUAGUUGGUAAGGUAACGGCUUACCAAGGCAACGAUACGUAGCCGACCUGAGAGAGUGAUCGGCCACACUGGAACGGAGACACGGUCCAGACUCCUAAGGGAGGCAGCAGUAGGGAAUCUUACGCAAUGGGCGAAAGCCUGACGGAGCAACGCCGCGUGAGUGAUGAAGGGUUUCGGCUCGUAAAACUCUGUUAUUAGGGAAGAACAAAUGUGUAAGUAACUGUGCACGUCUUGACGGUACCUAAUCAGAAAGCCACGGCUAACUACGUG